UGUUAAAUGGUCUUAACGAUCGAGCCAAA
rnacentral:piRNA from 1 species